rnacentral:rRNA from 1 species
CAGUAGCCGCGGUAAUACAGAGGGUGCGAGCGUUAAUCGGAUUUACUGGGCGUAAAGCGUGCGUAGGCGGCUUUUUAAGUCGGAUGUGAAAUCCCUGAGCUUAACUUAGAAAUUGCAUUCGAUACUGGGAAGCUAGAGUAUGGGAGAGGAUGGUAGAAUUCCAGGUGUAGCGGUGAAAUGCGUAGAGAUCUGGAGGAAUACCGAUGGCGAAGGCAGCCAUCUGGCCUAAUACUGACGCUGAGGUACGAAAGCAUGGGGAGCAAACAGGAUUAGAUACCCCCGUAGUCCCUGUCUCUUAUAC